rnacentral:rRNA from 1 species
CUCCGCGCUUACAUGCAAGUCGAACGCUGAAGCCUGGUGCUUGCACCGGGUGGAUGAGUGGCGAACGGGUGAGUAACACGUGAGUAACCUGCCCCUGACUUCGGGAUAAGCCCGGGAAACUGGGUCUAAUACCGGAUACGACUGCGGACGCAUGUCUGGUGGUGGAAAGUUUUUUCGGUUGGGGAUGGGCUCGCGGCCUAUCAGUUUGUUGGUGAGGUAAUGGCUCACCAAGACGACGACGGGUAGCCGGCCUGAGAGGGCGACCGGCCACACUGGGACUGAGACACGGCCCAGACUCCUACGGGAGGCAGCAGUGGGGAAUAUUGCACAAUGGGGGAAACCCUGAUGCAGCGACGCAGCGUGCGGGAUGACGGCCUUCGGGUUGUAAACCGCUUUCAGCAGGGAAAAGCGCAAGUGACGGUACCUGCAAAAAGUACCGGCUAACUACGUGCCAGCAGCCGCGGUAAUACGUAGGGUACGAGCGUUGUCCGGAAUUAUUGGGCGUAAAGAGCUCGUAGGUGGUUGGUCACGUCUGCUGUGGAAACGCAACGCUUAACGUUGCGCGUGCAGUGGGUACGGGCUGACUAGAGUGCAGUAGGGGAGUCUGGAAUUCCUGGUGUAGCGGUGAAAUGCGCAGAUAUCAGGAGGAACACCGGUGGCGAAGGCGGGACUCUGGGCUGUAACUGACACUGAGGAGCGAAAGCAUGGGGAGCGAACAGGAUUAGAUACCCUGGUAGUCCAUGCCGUAAACGUUGGGCACUAGGUGUGGGGGGGCAUUCCACGUUCUCCGCGCCGUAGCUAACGCAUUAAGUGCCCCGCCUGGGGAGUACGGUCGCAAGGCUAAAACUCAAAGGAUUGACGGGGCCCGCACAGCGGCGAGCAUGCGAAUACUCGAUGCACGCGAGAUCUUACAAGCUGCACAUACCCCGGGAAAA